GACAGGGGUGGGGGGGGGCCUGGGGGUGUCUUGCAGCCCAUGGGGAGCGAGGCGGGGGGGUCCCUUGGGUGCUCGGGGUGCCAUCCUGCACACCACAGAGCCCAAGGGCACCCUGGGGUGGCCCCUGCGCCCCACGGAGCCUCACGGCACCCUAGGGUGACCCCUGCGCCCCAUGGGGAGCAAUGGGGGCCUUGGGUGCUAUCCUGCACCCCACAGCACCCCUGGAGCCUCACGGCACCCCUGGGUGACCCCUGCGCCCCACGGAGCCCAAGGGCACCCGUGGGUGCCAUUCUGCACCCCACAGCACCCCUGGGUGACCCCCACAGCCCACAGAGCCCAAGGGCACCCUUGGAUGACCCCUGCAUCCUCUAGGGAGCAAGGGGUCCCUUGGGUGCCCAUGGUGCCAUCCUGUACCCCACGGAGCCCAAGGGCACCCUUGGGUGCCCCCACACCCCCCAGAGCCCAAGGGUGCACCCAGGUGCCUGCAAUGGGUCCUGCGCGCCGGGGUGCCCCUUCUCCCAGCCCCACAGGGUGUCCCCGGUGUCCCCCUGCCCUCCCCUGGCUGCGGGUGACACCCUGGGGACACCCCGUCACUGCCACCCCUGUAAGUAAACAAUAAACCAUCUCAGAUGGG